rnacentral:rRNA from 1 species
UACGUAGGGUCCGAGCGUUGUCCGGAAUUAUUGGGCGUAAAGAGCUCGUAGGCGGUCUGUCGCGUCGGCUGUGAAAACACGGGGCUCAACUCCGUGCCUGCAGUCGAUACGAGCAGACUAGAGUUCGGUAGGGGAGACUGGAAUUCCUGGUGUAGCGGUGAAAUGCGCAGAUAUCAGGAGGAACACCGGUGGCGAAGGCGGGUCUCUGGGCCGAAACUGACGCUGAGGAGCGAAAGCGUGGGGAGCGAACAGG